rnacentral:rRNA from 1 species
AUUGAACGCUGGCGGCAGGCCUAACACAUGCAAGUCGAACGGGUAGCGGACGGGUGGAUAAUGUCUUAGAAACUGCGUGAUGGAGGGAUAUAACUGCGGUAAACGGUGGCUAAUACCGCAUACCAUGCUCUGUGCCGAGAUGGGAUUAGCUUGUUGGUGGGGUAACGGCUCACCAAGGCGACGAUCCCUAGCUGGCCUGAGAGGAUGACCGGCCACACUGGAACUGAGACACGGCCCAGACUCCUACGGGAGGCAGCAGUGGGGAAUCUUGCACAAUGGGCGCAAGUCUGAUGCAGCCAUGCCGCGUGUAUGAAGAAGGUCUUCGGGUCGUAAAGUACUGUCGGCGGGGAGGCGUUACCCGAAGAAGAAGCACCGGCUAACUCCGUGCCAGCAGCCGCGGUAAUUC